rnacentral:rRNA from 1 species
GGGUCAGUAGGUUGGUCGUGCCACCGGUACGUACUGGUCUCACUGAUUCCUCCUUCCUGAAGAACCGUAAUGCCAUUAAUUUGGUGUUGCGGGGAAACAGGACUGUUACUUUGAAAAAAUUAGAGUGUUUAAAGCAAGCUAACGCUUGAAUACAUUAGCAUGGAAUAAUGGAAUAGGACGAUCGAUCCUAUUUUGUCGGUUUCUAGGAUUGACGUA